rnacentral:misc_RNA from 1 species
AACUGAUACUACCUGCGGGAACCUGCGGAAGGAUCAUUACUGAAGUGAUUUGGGGAUGUUGCUGGCCCUCUCUCAAGGGGGGGCACUGUGCACUCCUCGAAACAAUUCACAAUUUCCAUCACACCCCUUGUGCACACCUUGUAGGCACCCAAACCCACCUCCGGGUGGUGGGGUCCCAUGUAUUCCUUCAUCUCACACUCUGUUGAAUGGUGCCAUGGGACGCAUCUAAAGGAUUAUUUG